UACGUAGGGUGCAAGCGUUAAUCGGAAUUACUGGGCGUAAAGCGUGCGCAGGCGGUUGUGCAAGACAGAGGUGAAAUCCCCGGGCUUAACCUGGGAACUGCCUUUGUGACUGCACGGCUAGAGUGUGUCAGAGGGGGGUAGAAUUCCGCGUGUAGCAGUGAAAUGCGUAGAGAUGCGGAGGAACACCGAUGGCGAAGGCAGCCCCCUGGGCUAACACUGACGCUCAGGCACGAAAGCGUGGGGAGCAAACAGG
rnacentral:rRNA from 1 species